GGAAGAGAGAGCAAGGGAGAGAGAGCGAGAGAGAGGGGGAAAGGGAGAGGAGAGAGCGUGUGUGAGACAUUCACAUUUAGUCCUGCCCGUGUGCAGCCGCACCGCACUGCUCCUCCGCUGUGGAACAAGGGAUGUGGACGAGGAUGAGUCCGUGGACGGAAGAACGGAUUGCACUCUGAAGAAGAGAGACGUAAAGAGAGAAAGAGAGGGAAAGAGCCAAUGGGAAUGGAAUAAAAAUGCUUCUCCUUCUGUUGGGUCGUCCUCUUUCAUCCAGUCUCGUUUGCUUUGAGAGGAAAACUUCCCAGGCAGAGAGACAGAGAAAACACACACAUAUUGCGAUAUAUCUAUAAAAUUCCUAUACAUAUAUCAAUAUAUGCCUGGCUUUGGGAAUGAAGGAUCUCGACCGGGGAAACCUGCUCGCACACGAACUUCCAUUCUCUUGCUAAAAGUAAGCGAACACAGCCACACAAAAACACUCUCCUCAACAGGUAAACGAAAGGGGAAAGCUAAAGUACACUAUGCAUGGGCAGACGGGAGCCUUCGGAAGCUUCUGGAGGGAACGCCACCAACGAGCAAGUGGGAAAGGAAUCAUCAUGACCAGUGGAUUAUGCCAUUUUCCCAGCGCUUUGGAUCUGUCCUGUCUGAGCGCCGACCCAGUGUUGGUGGGAUGGUUAUCCACAUGAGAUGGCUUCACACACACACACACACACACUCUGAGUUUAUCCACAUGAGAUGUCCUCACACACACACACACACACUCUGAGCUUCGUCUUCACUCCUUCGAGGUCCCGAGUCGGCCGUGCCACAUGAGACGUCUUCACCGAGAGGCAACUCGACAGGGAAGAGUGUGCCAGCUCUGAGUUUCAUCGUCUUCGUCACUACUCCGAGGUCCCGAGGUCCCGAGUCGUCGGCCGUGCCGUCGUGCCAGAUCUGGUGCGCCCCUGAGAAUAUUCUGGAAUAUUUAAUGAGAAAUCCUCCACAGGGUUCUCUGCGUCUCAGGUGACUCCCUUCAAACUUGGAGGCGCUCCGGGGAGGAGCAGCAUUUUUCAGAGCGUGUCUCGUUUUUUUUUUGUCAGCACGUCCGCCCCGAUAACGGCAGACAUGUUUAAUUGAAGGAGCGAGUGAAUAUAUAGUCUGGGGGAUGCGUUCCUGAAGGAGGCUCAGCGGACGACUGACUGACUGAUGCUCAGGUUCAGCUCGCUCGCAAUGCUGUACACACGCCUCCUCUUCUUCUUUCUCUCCUCUUCCUCCUCUUCCUCCUCCUCAUCCUUGAGGACUUGCUUUAUCUGAAACACUUCAAACUGCCCCCCGUGCGUGAAUCCUCACACACCUCCAAAAAACUGAAAAAACCGAGAGUACUCCUCCUUCUUCUUCAUCUGAGCUUUGGAACUAAACGCACGGUUCCCCCCCCCCCCCCUUGUUGUUAUUGUCAUUUGUUGUUGUUGUGGUUCUCAUCUACACGAGAGCUGAUGAAGAAUAUCACCCUCCUCCUCGGCUCUUGAUAUUUGGGGCGUAAAGUACAAGUCUAGCCUGGUAGCUUUAGGGUGCCCCGAGCGGGCCGUGCGUGGCA
ensembl:lncRNA